UACGUAGGGUGCAAGCGUUGUCCGGAAUUAUUGGGCGUCAAGAGCUUGUAGGCGGUUUGUCGCGUCUGCCGUGAAAAUUCGAGGCUCAACCUCGAACUUGCGGUGGGUACGGGCAGACUAGAGUGUGGUAGGGGAGACUGGAAUUCCUGGUGUAGCGGUGAAAUGCGCAGAUAUCAGGAGGAACACCGAUGGCGAAGGCAGGUCUCUGGGCCACUACUGACGCUGAGAAGCGAAAGCAUGGGGAGCGAACAGG
rnacentral:rRNA from 1 species